GAAAUGCGAUACUUGGUGUGAAUUGCAGAAUCCCGUGAACCAUCGAAUCUUUGAACGCACAUUGCGCCCCAUGGUAUUCCGUGGGGCAUGCCUGUUCGAGCGUCAUUUACCCCCUCAAGCUCCGCUUGGUGUUGGGCGUUUGUCCCGCUUCGUGCGCGGACUCGCCCCAAAGGUAUUGGCAGCGGUCGUGCCAGCUUCUCGCGCAGCACAUUGCGCUUCUCGAGGCACCGGUGGGCCCGCGUCCAUGAAGCUCCCCCCAGUUUGACCUCGGAUCAGGUAGGGAUACCCGCUGAACUUAA
rnacentral:misc_RNA from 1 species